rnacentral:snRNA from 1 species
UUGAACCUUGCAAGAAAACU